GGGUUGUGAGGUUAAGCGACUAAGCGUACACGGUGGAUGCCCUGGCAGUCAGAGGCGAUGAAGGACGUGCUAAUCUGCGAUAAGCGUCGGUAAGGUGAUAUGAACCGUUAUAACCGGCGAUUUCCGAAUGGGGAAACCCAGUGUGUUUCGACACACUAUCAUUAACUGAAUCCAUAGGUUAAUGAGGCGAACCGGGGGAACUGAAACAUCUAAGUACCCCGAGGAAAAGAAAUCAACCGAGAUUCCCCCAGUAGCGGCGAGCGAACGGGGAGCAGCCCAGAGCCUGAAUCAGUGUGUGUGUUAGUGGAAGCGUCUGGAAAGGCGCGCGAUACAGGGUGACAGCCCCGUACACAAAAAUGCACAUGCUGUGAGCUCGAUGAGUAGGGCGGGACACGUGGUAUCCUGUCUGAAUAUGGGGGGACCAUCCUCCAAGGCUAAAUACUCCUGACUGACCGAUAGUGAACCAGUACCGUGAGGGAAAGGCGAAAAGAACCCCGGCGAGGGGAGUGAAAAAGAACCUGAAACCGUGUACGUACAAGCAGUGGGAGCACGCUUAGGCGUGUGACUGCGUACCUUUUGUAUAAUGGGUCAGCGACUUAUAUUCUGUAGCAAGGUUAACCGAAUAGGGGAGCCGAAGGGAAACCGAGUCUUAACUGGGCGUUAAGUUGCAGGGUAUAGACCCGAAACCCGGUGAUCUAGCCAUGGGCAGGUUGAAGGUUGGGUAACACUAACUGGAGGACCGAACCGACUAAUGUUGAAAAAUUAGCGGAUGACUUGUGGCUGGGGGUGAAAGGCCAAUCAAACCGGGAGAUAGCUGGUUCUCCCCGAAAGCUAUUUAGGUAGCGCCUCGUGAACUCAUCUCCGGGGGUAGAGCACUGUUUCGGCAAGGGGGUCAUCCCGACUUACCAACCCGAUGCAAACUGCGAAUACCGGAGAAUGUUAUCACGGGAGACACACGGCGGGUGCUAACGUCCGUCGUGAAGAGGGAAACAACCCAGACCGCCAGCUAAGGUCCCAAAGUCAUGGUUAAGUGGGAAACGAUGUGGGAAGGCCCAGACAGCCAGGAUGUUGGCUUAGAAGCAGCCAUCAUUUAAAGAAAGCGUAAUAGCUCACUGGUCGAGUCGGCCUGCGCGGAAGAUGUAACGGGGCUAAACCAUGCACCGAAGCUGCGGCAGCGACGCUUAUGCGUUGUUGGGUAGGGGAGCGUUCUGUAAGCCUGUGAAGGUGUACUGUGAGGUAUGCUGGAGGUAUCAGAAGUGCGAAUGCUGACAUAAGUAACGAUAAAGCGGGUGAAAAGCCCGCUCGCCGGAAGACCAAGGGUUCCUGUCCAACGUUAAUCGGGGCAGGGUGAGUCGACCCCUAAGGCGAGGCCGAAAGGCGUAGUCGAUGGGAAACAGGUUAAUAUUCCUGUACUUGGUGUUACUGCGAAGGGGGGACGGAGAAGGCUAUGUUGGCCGGGCGACGGUUGUCCCGGUUUAAGCGUGUAGGCUGGUUUUCCAGGCAAAUCCGGAAAAUCAAGGCUGAGGCGUGAUGACGAGGCACUACGGUGCUGAAGCAACAAAUGCCCUGCUUCCAGGAAAAGCCUCUAAGCAUCAGGUAACAUCAAAUCGUACCCCAAACCGACACAGGUGGUCAGGUAGAGAAUACCAAGGCGCUUGAGAGAACUCGGGUGAAGGAACUAGGCAAAAUGGUGCCGUAACUUCGGGAGAAGGCACGCUGAUAUGUAGGUGAAGCGACUUGCUCGUGGAGCUGAAAUCAGUCGAAGAUACCAGCUGGCUGCAACUGUUUAUUAAAAACACAGCACUGUGCAAACACGAAAGUGGACGUAUACGGUGUGACGCCUGCCCGGUGCCGGAAGGUUAAUUGAUGGGGUCAGCGCAAGCGAAGCUCUUGAUCGAAGCCCCGGUAAACGGCGGCCGUAACUAUAACGGUCCUAAGGUAGCGAAAUUCCUUGUCGGGUAAGUUCCGACCUGCACGAAUGGCGUAAUGAUGGCCAGGCUGUCUCCACCCGAGACUCAGUGAAAUUGAACUCGCUGUGAAGAUGCAGUGUACCCGCGGCAAGACGGAAAGACCCCGUGAACCUUUACUAUAGCUUGACACUGAACAUUGAGCCUUGAUGUGUAGGAUAGGUGGGAGGCUUUGAAGUGUGGACGCCAGUCUGCAUGGAGCCGACCUUGAAAUACCACCCUUUAAUGUUUGAUGUUCUAACGUUGACCCGUAAUCCGGGUUGCGGACAGUGUCUGGUGGGUAGUUUGACUGGGGCGGUCUCCUCCUAAAGAGUAACGGAGGAGCACGAAGGUUGGCUAAUCCUGGUCGGACAUCAGGAGGUUAGUGCAAUGGCAUAAGCCAGCUUGACUGCGAGCGUGACGGCGCGAGCAGGUGCGAAAGCAGGUCAUAGUGAUCCGGUGGUUCUGAAUGGAAGGGCCAUCGCUCAACGGAUAAAAGGUACUCCGGGGAUAACAGGCUGAUACCGCCCAAGAGUUCAUAUCGACGGCGGUGUUUGGCACCUCGAUGUCGGCUCAUCACAUCCUGGGGCUGAAGUAGGUCCCAAGGGUAUGGCUGUUCGCCAUUUAAAGUGGUACGCGAGCUGGGUUUAGAACGUCGUGAGACAGUUCGGUCCCUAUCUGCCGUGGGCGCUGGAGAACUGAGGGGGGCUGCUCCUAGUACGAGAGGACCGGAGUGGACGCAUCACUGGUGUUCGGGUUGUCAUGCCAAUGGCACUGCCCGGUAGCUAAAUGCGGAAGAGAUAAGUGCUGAAAGCAUCUAAGCACGAAACUUGCCCCGAGAUGAGUUCUCCCUGACUCCUUGAGAGUCCUGAAGGAACGUUGAAGACGACGACGUUGAUAGGCCGGGUGUGUAAGCGCAGCGAUGCGUUGAGCUAACCGGUACUAAUGAACCGUGAGGCUUAACCUUACAACGCCGAAG
rnacentral:rRNA from 1 species